CGUCGGCGAUAGGUCGACCGGGUUGGCAGCCUGGGGGGGUGCGGUGUUUCAGCCUUUCUGGCAGCCCGAUCGCGUAAUAGGACCCUAUUCAGCGUUUCGUGGAGGAUCUGAUCGAUCUGGUAACGCGCUCAAAGCUAAGGUUAGGAAACCGCGUGGGAGCGGCGUUCUUUUUGAAUUUAACCACGAAACAAGCAAGUUCGUGCAAGCAAGGAGAAGCAUCCGGAAAUUUUCGAGCAACUGCAGCGUAGUUUUACCCGCUGAGGAACCAUCGUGCUGGGGCAGGACCAGCAGGCAUACAGAAAGAGGGCCACAAGCGGCAAUUUGGCGGUGUACGUACUGCUCAGUCAAGGCAGGGCGCGAUCGUAGAAGCUAGGUGUUUUCGUUUAGCUAGGUCAGGGGUACCAGCGUGCGAGCUAGACCCCUGGUGACAGAGAGGCAUAGUGCGAGCAACGCUUGGCCAGAAGAAGAAGAGAAGAGCGGGUCACAGUUGCGGCGCGAAUCUCUCAGUCAGGCCGCCCACGAGGCGGGGCUGAGGGGAGUCAUCAAAACCAAGUAGGAGCUGGAGAUACCGUGAGCUCGACCUGAAGUGAAGCAAUCGGAGCGUUCGCGACGCUUUAAGGGGCGCUCCGCCAGAGAUCCGGAUAGGGUUCGGCCCUAACCUCACAGGAGUCGCCGUAAAGUAGGCGCCAUCCUGGAGCAGUGACGAAGGACGGAGUGCUGGCGGCGCUUUAAGCAGCACCCCGUCGAUCACAGGAGCCGUCGUGUAGUAGGCGCCAUCCUGGAGUAGUGAAGGAAGACAGAGUGCUGGCGGCGCUUUAAGCAGCACCACGCCGAUCGCAGGAGCCGCCGUGCAGUAGGCGUCCUCCUGGAGGAGUAAAAACGGGGACGGAGUGCUGGCGGCGCUUUUAAGGAGCACGCCGUCGAACGGAGGAGUCGCCGCAAAAUAGGCGAGCUCCUAUAGGAGCAGUAGCGGGAGCGGAGCGCUGGCUGCGCUUUAAAGGAGCGUUCCGUUAUCCGGAGGAGCAGGCGUGGACUAGCCUUCAGCCGUAGGAUAAGAAGCAGGGACAGGGCGCUUGCGGCGCUUUCAAGAAGCGCUUUGUCGAUCAGGAGAGCGGAGAGACUCGACCGGCUGAUGGCCUAACGGUGCCGGAAGAGGAGGAGAAGAAGUAGUGGGCGAAGAUUUCGCGUCAGAGCUCUGCCACUGGCUGUAUGUUUUGUUGUUGGCAUUGUUGACGGGUUAGGCAAAGGCCCUCCCGAAUUGCAUAUUAUCUUUUCCAGCCUCGAGUAGUGGAAGCGCUUCAACAACUCGUCGCGGAUGUAUUGAGUGAGUAAUCCUAAAUCUAUGCCAGGCCAGCAGAAGUGAUACGGAAUUCUCCGAUCAAUAUUUUUCCUCGUUUUCCGAGUUCCAGCCCAAGAGGCUUCACCGGUUAUACAGUCAACCCCACGCGUGGUCUUUGUAGUAGCGCUCUCUUAGUAACUAAAAUCUGUUGUCAUGAUAUUGAACGCGAGUCCGCAAAUCCUGCCAAGUCGAAUAUACAUUUAAGUUCUCUAAUUUUUAGCAAUAAGAUAUUAUUAAGCAUAGUCAGAAAAAUCAUACAUUGGAGUAUUAGAAUAGUUAGGAAGCUAGGAUAAGGAUGUCAUCUAGAAUUUUAAGGUCUUUUGUUAAGGAAUAAAACAAUGAAGUUUAUAAUGGAGUAAGAAAACAUAUUUCGCCUCGUUUGGGUCGCCACCGCCCUGCCACCAACCCAUGCCAUGUGCCUUCUUGGGGGAUCUCCGAAGGAUCCUAAUAUACUCUGGUCUGAGGAGCUCAGGUUUGACCCACGCUGUUCGUGGGGUCGCGCACGCAUCAUUAUCGAUUCAAUUUAUGAUUCCCGAGGCAGCAUCGAGGGGAGAGAAGGGGGUGUUCCAGAACCCACCCACUAGCCGGCGAGAUCUGGCCGGACACAGCGUGCAACUCCCUCCUCUCGUCCGAUAUGUCCAGAGAUGCCACCUCACUGUUCGUUACAAUUAUAAUUAUCUUAAUCAUAAAUUUAUCUGGCGCCCAACUAAGUGGCCAUGUUUUUAGCAUGGUUAGACGCAGCCAUGUUUUGCGGACAAGUUUUUUUCGGCUGGUUACAGUGGCAUGGCAGUAACCAGACCAAAACCCUCAGCAGUGGCGCGGGUACCGCUCGAAAUUCUACACUCAGAGGAGAGAGUAGACCACAGUGCCUCGCAACCACAGAAAUAGUUUCGUGUAGAGUUUAGCAGGACGGAUUCUCGCAGGACUUUAGCAGGGGAUAGGACCCAGCUGACCACGAGUUUCGGAUAGCAGGCUGCUACAAUGACGAAGGGACGGGAGAGACAGUGCCACAGUCGUUUGGAACAGCAGUAUCAGUUAGCGGACUGAUAUCUGACCAAGCCUGUAAAUUGGCAGCUAAAUCCCGUCAUCCCCUAGGAGAGCAGAAGGACGCUCGGAGUUCAUUCGUAACAGGCACGAAAUGACCACGUCCAAAGGGUUUCAGCUUAUAGAUCGCAGGCCUGGAAGUUAGCAGGACGGGCGACAAAGAGCUGGAAAGGGGAGUUUUCUACGAGCGAAAUUCCAGAACGGAAUUAGGUGAGAAGCAAUGGCGAAGAGAAGAAGAAUGUUAGGCAGCGUGCAUGGCGGUAGGCAGGCUAAAGACGAAGGCGAAAUUCAGUUUUAGAGUUUCGGUAUUUGUGAAGCGAGCAUUUUUUAGGUUAGGCAAGAAAGAAAGAAAGGAUGAACCCGGCAGAGGCAGAGAAGGGGGCAGCGACUCCCAAAAAGGGGUCCAUCUGCACACUAUGUAAUAAAGAAAGGACAACCGGCAGAGCCAGGACCAAGUGCGGACACGUGUUCCACAAGGCGUGUAUAGCAACACACGCUAAAUCGAAGCUGUCAUGUCCGACGUGCAAGGUAGCGUGUUUUGAGAAAGCACAGGCGGCCGGCGUCAGGACUGGCGCAAGUACAAGUCAGCUGACUCGCAGGGGAGAUUCACCCUGUGGGACCAGCCAAGCGAGCUCUCAAGCAGCGUCGGCAGGAGGCACAGCGGUAUUGUGUUCGAUUGUAUCCCAAUUAAUCAGCGCUAUGCAGGCGACGCUGCUGGAACAACUGUCAGAGCGAAUAGACGAACGGUUCCACCAAAGGGCGCAAUCAGAGAGCCAACUUUCCAAACCAGGUUGGGGGAAGACGGCUUCUUUCGGUGAAACUCAGAGACAGGAAGACAGAAGCUCCCACAAAGGUUACGGGCACAACAGAUCAGUAGCGGAAGUAGGAAGCGACUUGGAAUGGGAAGAGGCCCAAGAAUUCUCAGGUGAUGAAGCGGGUGAAGUGGAGGCAGUGGCUCUUAUCUGCUGGAAUUGCAGGAAAGAGGGUCACAGGUACCACGACUGCGCGGGCAAGCGGAAAGUUUUCUGUUUUGGGUGCGGAGCACCAAAUGUUUACAAACCAUCGUGUCCGAAGUGUCUAAAAAACGGGAGAGCGAACGCGCCGGAUCGUCCAACUCAGCGCGUUCCGUCAGGAGUAAACAAGGACAAGUAGGAAAUGAGUUCAGAGAAGAGUUUAAUAGGUCUAAGGUAGAAUGUAAGUAUAGGUCAAGGAAUACUAAUAGGAUAAGGCGAUAUUGGCAGAUGAUGAAGACGAAAGAAACAAUGAAGUACAAGACCUCAGACAGACGUCCUUUUGCCGAGGUCUGAUUAUUUGGAGAGGUAGUUUUAGGACUAUUGGAUACUGGUGCAGUGGUUAGCUGUAUUGGAGGGAGUUCGGAGGAGACCGGAAAGGCUACCUACGAGCGGUAGGAUAAGCAAGGGCGAGCGAUAGGCACCUAUCAUGUCAAAGAGGUGAAACAGUAGUUCUCGCCUCCGUGAUUGAGCUAAACAGGAUCGUUUGAGAUCCUGUUCUAGCUCUUGAGAAGGGGGCAUUUUGUAACGUCGGCGAUAGGUCGACCGGGUUGGCAGCCUGGGGGGGUGCGGUGUUUCAGCCUUUCUGGCAGCCCGAUCGCGUAAUAGGACCCUAUUCAGCGUUUCGUGGAGGAUCUGAUCGAUCUGGUAACGCGCUCAAAGCUAAGGUUAGGAAACCGCGUGGGAGCGGCGUUCUUUUUGAAUUUAACCACGAAACAAGCAAGUUCGUGCAAGCAAGGAGAAGCAUCCGGAAAUUUUCGAGCAACUGCAGCGUAGUUUUACCCGCUGAGGAACCAUCGUGCUGGGGCAGGACCAGCAGGCAUACAGAAAGAGGGCCACAAGCGGCAAUUUGGCGGUGUACGUACUGCUCAGUCAAGGCAGGGCGCGAUCGUAGAAGCUAGGUGAGUUUUAAGACUGGUCAUGGUUAUGCGAGCCUGACGUAGGUGUUUUCGUUUAGCUAGGUCAGGGGUACCAGCGUGCGAGCUAGACCCCUGGUGACAGAGAGGCAUAGUGCGAGCAACGCUUGGCCAGAAGAAGAAGAGAAGAGCGGGUCACAGUUGCGGCGCGAAUCUCUCAGUCAGGCCGCCCACGAGGCGGGGCUGAGGGGAGUCAUCAAAACCAAGUAGGAGCUGGAGAUACCGUGAGCUCGACCUGAAGUGAAGCAAUCGGAGCGUUCGCGACGCUUUAAGGGGCGCUCCGCCAGAGAUCCGGAUAGGGUUCGGCCCUAACCUCACAGGAGUCGCCGUAAAGUAGGCGCCAUCCUGGAGCAGUGACGAAGGACGGAGUGCUGGCGGCGCUUUAAGCAGCACCCCGUCGAUCACAGGAGCCGUCGUGUAGUAGGCGCCAUCCUGGAGUAGUGAAGGAAGACAGAGUGCUGGCGGCGCUUUAAGCAGCACCACGCCGAUCGCAGGAGCCGCCGUGCAGUAGGCGUCCUCCUGGAGGAGUAAAAACGGGGACGGAGUGCUGGCGGCGCUUUUAAGGAGCACGCCGUCGAACGGAGGAGUCGCCGCAAAAUAGGCGAGCUCCUAUAGGAGCAGUAGCGGGAGCGGAGCGCUGGCUGCGCUUUAAAGGAGCGUUCCGUUAUCCGGAGGAGCAGGCGUGGACUAGCCUUCAGCCGUAGGAUAAGAAGCAGGGACAGGGCGCUUGCGGCGCUUUCAAGAAGCGCUUUGUCGAUCAGGAGAGCGGAGAGACUCGACCGGCUGAUGGCCUAACGGUGCCGGAAGAGGAGGAGAAGAAGUAGUGGGCGAAGAUUUCGCGUCAGAGCUCUGCCACUGGCUGUAUGUUUUGUUGUUGGCAUUGUUGACGGGUUAGGCAAAGGCCCUCCCGAAUUGCAUAUUAUCUUUUCCAGCCUCGAGUAGUGGAAGCGCUUCAACAACUCGUCGCGGAUGUAUUGAGUGAGUAAUCCUAAAUCUAUGCCAGGCCAGCAGAAGUGAUACGGAAUUCUCCGAUCAAUAUUUUUCCUCGUUUUCCGAGUUCCAGCCCAAGAGGCUUCACCGGUUAUACAGUCAACCCCACGCGUGGUCUUUGUAGUAGCGCUCUCUUAGUAACUAAAAUCUGUUGUCAUGAUAUUGAACGCGAGUCCGCAAAUCCUGCCAAGUCGAAUAUACAUUUAAGUUCUCUAAUUUUUAGCAAUAAGAUAUUAUUAAGCAUAGUCAGAAAAAUCAUACAUUGGAGUAUUAGAAUAGUUAGGAAGCUAGGAUAAGGAUGUCAUCUAGAAUUUUAAGGUCUUUUGUUAAGGAAUAAAACAAUGAAGUUUAUAAUGGAGUAA